GACGAACGCUGGCGGCGUGCCUAACACAUGCAAGUCGAGCGGAGUUUACGCUGUAGUUUACUACGGUGUGAACUUAGCGGCGGACGGGUGAGUAACGCGUGAGCAACCUGCCCUAUACAGGGGGAUAACAUCGGGAAACCGAUGCUAAUACCCCAUGACACCGGGACAUCGCAUGAUGGUCUGGUCAAAGGAGGAAUCCGGUAUAGGAUGGGCUCGCGUCCCAUUAGCUAGUUGGUGAGGUAACGGCUCACCAAGGCGACGAUGGGUAGCCGACCUGAGAGGGUGAUCGGCCACACUGGGACUGAGACACGGCCCAGACUCCUACGGGAGGCAGCAGUGGGGAAUAUUGCGCAAUGGGGGGAACCCUGACGCAGCAACGCCGCGUGAGUGAGGAAGGCCUUCGGGUCGUAAAGCUCUGUCAUUAGGGACGAAUUAAGUGACGGUACCUAAGGAGGAAGCCCCGGCUAACUACGUGCCAGCAGCCGCGGUAAUACGUAGGGGGCGAGCGUUGUCCGGAAUUACUGGGCGUAAAGGGCGUGUAGGCGGCUAAUUAAGUCAGAUGUGAAAGGCCCCGGCUUAACCGGGGUAUUGCAUUUGAAACUGGUUAGCUUGAGUGCAGGAGAGGAAAGUGGAAUUCCUAGUGUAGCGGUGAAAUGCGUAGAUAUUAGGAGGAACACCAGUGGCGAAGGCGACUUUCUGGACUGUAACUGACGCUGAGGCGCGAAAGCGUGGGUAGCGAACAGGAUUAGAUACCCUGGUAGUCCACGCUGUAAACGAUGGAUACUAGGUGUAGGGGGUAUCGAAACCCUCUGUGCCGGAGUAAACGCAAUAAGUAUCCCGCCUGGGGAGUACGGCCGCAAGGUUGAAACUCAAAGGAAUUGACGGGGGCCCGCACAAGCAGCGGAGCAUGUGGUUUAAUUCGAAGCAACGCGAAGAACCUUACCAGGGCUUGACAUCGCCUGACGCUGGUAGAGAUACCAGUUCCCUUUUGGGCAGGCAGACAGGUGGUGCAUGGUUGUCGUCAGCUCGUGUCGUGAGAUGUUGGGUUAAGUCCCGCAACGAGCGCAACCCUUAUCUUUAGUUGCUAACAGGUAAGCUGAGCACUCUAGAGAGACUGCCGGAGACAAUUCGGAGGAAGGUGGGGACGACGUCAAAUCAUCAUGCCCCUUAUGUCCUGGGCUACACACGUGCUACAAUGGCCUUUAACAGAGGGACGCGAAGGGGCAACCCGGAGCAAAUCCCAUAAAAGAGGUCCCAGUUCGGAUUGUGGGCUGCAACUCGCCCACAUGAAGUCGGAGUUGCUAGUAAUCGCGAAUCAGCAUGUCGCGGUGAAUACGUUCCCGGGCCUUGUACACACCGCCCGUCACACCAUGGGAGUCGGUGGCACCCGAAGCCAGUGACUUAACCGCGAGGGGAGAGCUGUCGAAGGUGAAACCGAUGACUGGGGUG
rnacentral:rRNA from 1 species